rnacentral:rRNA from 1 species
UACGUAGGGCGCAAGCGUUUAUCCGGAAUUAUUGGGCGUAAAGAGCUCGUAGGCGGUUUGUCGCGUCUGCUGUGAAAACCUAAGGCUCAACCUUGGGCUUGCAGUGGGUACGGGCAGACUAGAGUGCGGUAGGGGUGACUGGAAUUCCUGGUGUAGCGGUGGAAUGCGCAGAUAUCAGGAGGAACACCGAGUGGCGAAGGCAGGUCACUGGGCCGCAACUGACGC